GAUGAAGAACGCAACGAAAUGCGAUAAGUAGUGUGAAUUGCAGAAUUCAGUGAAUCAUCGAAUCUUUGAACGCACAUUGCGCCCCUUGGUAUUCCAUGGGGCAUGCCUGUUCGAGCGUCAUUUGUACCUUCAAGCUUUGCUUGGUGUUGGGUGUUUGUCCCGAGGGACUCGCCUUAAAGUAAUUGGCAGCCAGUGUUUGGUUUUGAAGCGCAGCACAAGUCGCGAUUCAAGGCUACACGCCCGCUUCCACAAGCCUUUUUUCACUUUUGACCUCGGAUCAGGUAGGGAUACCCGCUGAACUUAAGCAUAUCAAUAAGCGGAGGA
rnacentral:misc_RNA from 1 species